rnacentral:rRNA from 1 species
UACAGAGACUGCAAGCGUUUAUUCGGAUUCACUGGGCGUAAAGGGUGCGCAGGCGGCCAAGUGUGUGAGGCGUGAAAGCCUGGAGCUUAACUCCAGAAUUGCACCUCAAACUACAUGGCUAGAGCAUUGGAGAGGGUAGCGGAAUUCACGGUGUAGCAGUGAAAUGCGUAGAGAUCAUGAGGAAGACCAGUGGCGAAGGCGGGGUCUCUGGACAGUUCCUGACACUGAGGCACGAAGGCCAGGGGAGCAAACGGGG